UGCGCUGAUUGAAAGAGCAAAAAAACGAACUUCAAUGAAUAUUCAUCACCCACGUGAUUGGUGUCAAUUGGUAAGGACUGCAUCGACUAGAACUAAUAAAUUUUCGGUAAUUGAAAUGGCGGUAACAGAUUUUUAUGAUUUUGCACUAUUUUCAAAAAAUAAUUUUACUGUAAAAAAGACUAAUUCUACUGGUGAAAAGUUGUAUGGUCGAAUGUACGAGUUAUUAAAUUUAGUAAAGAAAAAUUUCCUGUUUUUGAAUAUAAAGAAAGUUACGAAGGUGAUGAUUAUUCAAUGAUGUCUUACAACAAAAAGAAUAAAAACUACAGUUUAGUUAGUAUCAAUGCAGAAAGAGAAAUUUUUAUUUCAAACUAUUGUUAUAAAGAUUCUUAGUGACAACCCUGAUAAUGAUUCAUAAUGACAAAUUAAAUCAAAAAUGGUAAUAUCCACUGCAGAUUUUUUCCAAAAUUGGUAAUAUCCAAGCGUUUAAAUCAAACUUAGUAAAAUCCAAUCAAUUUCUGCUUUUUGCGCCUUAAUUAUCCACAGAAAAGGUAAGUUUGUACAUUAGGCAUCCUUUUCUAACCCAUAUGGGGUUAUCUUGCUCAAAAGAGACGUAAAUAGAACCUGCAUUAAUAGUAUAGAAUAAAAUACGUCAUUGUGUAAAAACAUCUUUAACGGAUUUUUCCACUGACUGCCUCGUUGGUCGAGUGGUCGCAAGUGCGACUGCCGAACAAGGGGUCUCGGGUUCGAUUCCCGGGUCGGGCAAAGUAUUACUGGGCUUUUUCGAAUUUUCGAAAAUUUCUCGGUAGUAGCACGGUGUCUGGAAUUGUGUCCGGUAUAUGGCAAUAGGCUCACCCCCUAUUACAUGGGACUUAUAACACAAAUGGUGAAAAGUGGGUGUACAUUGUAUAGCGGCAUUACGUGCCGUAAUGUGCACCUCGGCCUACCCCUUCGGGGAUAAAAGGCGUGACGUUGUGUGUGUGUGUGCGGAUUUUUCCACUUUUGCUGUUCACCGACACAUAUUUUGUCAGUAUCGAUAAUAAAGCUAGAUUAGUUGGGUGGCCAGUUAUUGAUUGUAAUUUUGGCAUAUUUUCAUUUAUUGGCCACUCAUGCCAGUUACUGAAUUAUAAGCUAAUGUCCGAAUUUUACGAAAAUUUAAACGUAUUUAGCAAGCGUAUAUACACUAUCGCCUAAAAAAAACAUAUAAAAAUAUACAUGUUUAUCAGUAACUGGCAUGGGUGGCCAAUUGUAUUAUAGUUGUAUGGCCAGUUACUGACGGAAUAUUUUUUGUUGGACAGAUUUUCUGAAAUGUCAUUAGAAAAACGCCAAUACUCUAAAGAGGCAAUAGAAAAUGCUAUCAAAUUUAUCGAAAACAAUGAAGGUUCGAUUCGUCAAGCAGCAAAAAAAUUUGGCGUACCUCGAAGCAGUGUCCAAUUCAAAAUACGACAUCCAAACACUAAAUUUAAGUCUGGACCUGAUCCAGUGCUUACUGAAAAUGAAGAAACUGAGUUAUGUAACUUUAUUAUACAACAAAGUAAAAGAGGAUUUCCCAGAAAGAAAGAAGAUAUACAGGUUUGUGUCAAGGAUUUUUUGAAGAAAAAUCCUAGACCUAAUACGUUCCGGAAUAACAAACCUGGAGAUGUAGGGUAGGUGUAGGCAAUGGGAGUCAGUUGGCAAUGGUGAUCACCUCAAAAUAACAAAAACUGAAUGUGACCAAGCGAUGCCAAUAUACCUAUACGCUAGCAAUACGUUAUUCCCGAGCGCCGCUGGCGACCGAUCCAGUUCGCACGACGCGCUUGAGAGUAACGGGUGUGUGAAGGUUUCGCGCCAUUUUCAUCUAAUUUUUCGAGUUGAUAAAUCUGAAGAUGCCGAAAAUUCGUCUCAGGCAGACUAAUAAAGCUAAUUGGACUAUCGACCAAUUGGAAAAAGCUAUAAAGCUUAUCGAAGAACAAAAUUUUUCAAUACGGAAAGCAGCAAAGACAAUGAAUAUUCCUUUUGCGAGUCUUCAUAAGAGGUACAAAAAGAAUACAAUUAAGGCACCUCGUCUCGGCCGUAAUACUGUCUUCACUCCUGAGAUGGAGAAAGAAUUAGCGGACAUAAUUAAAAAAAUGGCCAAUUUAUUUUAUGGAUGCACUCCAAAGCAAAUUAAAAGAGCGGCAUUUGAAUACGCUGAAGCUCUGAAUCUGAAACACAGUUUUAAUACGAGUUCAAGAUUAGCUGGUCGUGUUUGGUUUGAGGGAUUUGUUGCCAGAAAUAAUAUUUCUGUGCGGAAGCCCGAAGCUACUAGCAUCAACAGGGUAACGGCCUUCAACAAAACUGAAGUUCAACGAUUCUUCAAUCUGCUAGAAGAACUAAUGGGAAAAUACAAAUUUCUACCUAAAAACAUAUACAAUUGCGACGAGACAGGCAUUUCUACAGUCCAAGAGCCUGAAAAAAUAUUAGCUGCAACGGGACAAAAAAGAGUGGGGUCUAUUACAAGUUGGGAAAGAGGUAAGAAUAUCACACUGCUCUGUGCAAUGAGUGCUUCAGGAGGAUAUGUCCCGCCAAUGUUUAUCUACCCCAGAAAGAGGAUGACCCCAACUCUUCAAACGGAUGGCCCAACAGGAGCAAUAUACAGGAAAAUUUUUUUUGGGGUGGCAUAAUUUUCAUAUCUCGUUCUAUAACGGCAAUACAACAUGUUUUCAUAAUUAUCUCAAAAAAAAUUUUUAUAAUUUUUUUAUCUUAUCCCACAUUGAAAUAAAUAAAUCGGAGACAUAAUUUUGUCAAUGAGCGCGCGCAGGCAGCAGCGCGGGGCGCGGGUGGCGCGGGGGGAGGCGUGCGGCGCGCCCGCCGAUGCGUCAUCGCCAGGCGCCAGUCCGUCUCAGGCGCAUUCGGGAUAAACAGGUGUCGUUUCCUUGUUCCGCGCGAACGCUUCCGCCACCCGCGCCGCACGCGCCUUCAUAACGUGACGAGUUCCUUAUUCAGUGUAGGUAGUGUGUGUGUGUUAUUUACAUCAAAAUAAGACAAAACAAUGUCGCGACAACCUCAAUACACGAAUCGUGAAUAUUAUGAAAUGGUGCGAGUGUAUCUACUCUCCAAUGAGAGCCUUCUAGCAGCUCGAAGGCAUACUCAAUCCCACAGUCCCUACUAGAAGGACUAUUUUAGCAGCGAACCAAAGACUACUGGAUCACGGCCAGUUCACGACGCCCAAUCAUGCUCAAGGGUCUGGCAGACCUCGAUUGGCGGUCGACAUCGAGGACUCGAUAUUUGAGUUCUUUGAACGCGACCCACGGGCCAGUACCUAUGACGCAGCACGUCGCUUCGGUGUGAGCCAGUCCACAGUGUGGAAGCUUCUAAAUGCAGCCGGGCUGCACCCAUAUCACUUUCAGCCGGUACAACAACUGCACGACCCCGACCCGGUACCACGUCGAGCCCUAUGCGAGUGGCUUCUAAGUCACCCUAAUGUCAACAUACUCUGGACGGAUGAAGCUUUGUUUACACGAGUAGGGCUGUAUAACAUACACAAUGAACAUUGGUGGGCGUUUAAUAAUCCCCAUUUAGUAAGAGAAACUCAUCACCAAGUGCGCUUUAGUGCGAACGUCUGGGCGGGAAUAAUUAAUAAUAAAAUAAUUGGUCCCGUUUUUAUCGACGGCCCACUGACUGGACAAAGGUAUUUAGAAAUGAUAAGUACCACUAUUGAAAGUUUAAUAGAAGACGUCCCACUGGGCUAUUUAAAUAAUUUUUAUUACCAGCACGACGGCGCUCCGCCACAUUAUGCGGCAAGUGUGCGCGAUUAUUUAAAUAAUAAAUACGGAGAGAACUGGAUAGGCCGCGGUGGACCGAUCCCGUGGCCGGCUAGGUCACCGGAUCUUACUCCCUGUGAUUUUUAUCUCUGGGGCGAGGUAAAACGCCGGGUGUACGUCGAAGAGGCCCAAAGUCUAAAAGAUUUAAAAACGAAAAUAAUAGACGCGUUUAAUUAUGUGAAAAAUGACACUAACGUUUUAAAUAAACUGAAAGACAAUUUACGCAAACGUGCACGAUUAUGCCUAGAACGAAACGGACUUCAUUUUGAACAAUUAUUAAAGUAUACCUAGUGAUUAGUGAUAGUGGAAAGGACACAAUUUUAACUUGUAAGUAAAACAAUCUUGAUCGAAUAUUAUUGUAAAUACUUAGUUGAUUCCAAUUUUUUAAAUACGCCUUAAUGCAGAAAGUAAGCAUGCUUAAUGUCUAUCGUAGUAUAUUUUUUUUUUACUAAUCUCGGAUAAUUCGUGUAGGCAUUUCAUGUAUUAUGUAAUAAACUAAAUUUAAUGAUAGGUACCUACUUGCCUACUUUUUGCAUUUUGAAGGUCCUAAGCCCUACAAAGUAUGAAGGGAAAAUUGGAUUUAAUACCUUAAAGAAAACUAAACACUAAACUAGCUACUUGUAGGCUUUAGCGGUCAGUCGCCGCGUGCUGUAGGUACGGCACGCGGUCGCCACUACUACGCGGCAAACAACGGCCGCACGGCGGGCGCCACACUCAUUGAUAACCGAGCGUACGACCAUAAAUCAUGUUUUGCAUUGGAUAAUCUUUCACCGGUCAUAACUUUAGUUUUUUGUACUGAACGUAACAAAAAGAAAAAAUACGUGUUUGUUAAAUUUGCUUAAUGAAUAACAUAUUAAAAAAUUGCCACACCAAAAAAAAUUUUCCUGUAUAAAUGUUCGGACAGUGGAUGGAUACAUGAAGAACUUUUCCUUGAAUGGCUGCAGCACUUCACCCAGCAUGCCAAACCUUCUGCAGAAGAACCGAUUCUACUAGUAUUGGAUAAUCAUGCGAGCCAUAUUUCACUAGCCAUCUAGUCAUCUAGUAUUGUAAGAAGAACCAUAUUCAUAUGCUAUCUUUACCACCCCAUACAUCUCAUCGCAUGCAGCCAUUGGAUGUGUCCUUUUUUGGCCCAUUCAAAGCUGCUUAUAAAAGAGAAUGCGAUUUAUUCAUGAAGAGCCAACUUUUACAAAGAAUUACACCCUAUGAUGUUGCCUCCUUGGUCAGAAAAGCAUUCUCUCAUGUAGCCUCUAUGAGCAAAGCCGAAGCAGGCAUCAAAUCAACAGGAAUCUUUCCUAUAAACCCAAAUAUUUUUACCGAUGAAGAUUUUAUGGCAGCAGAAGUUCUUCAAGAGUCAGUUGUUAUUCAAGAUCCUACUGAAUCUAUACCAGAAUCUAUUUCUGUUCGUGCUGUGGAUUCUGUAUCAGUGCUAACAUCUACUAAUGAGCCAGAACAAAAUUUUCCUAUUCCGAAUCCAUCCACAUUCUGUCCUACGAAUGCUCCAGCGACUGCAUCAUCAUCUCAAUUUGAUAUUCCAUCAACAUCUAAGAAUCCGCCAAACAUUCAUAAUUUCAUUCAGAUGCCCAAGAAAGCAACUGCUAAGACAAGACAAGGAAGAAAGAAACAGCAUGCAACUUUCGGAGUCAGACGUGAAAACAGACGAGUUAUGCCAGGAUGACGAUAAUGACGAUGCUGAAGAUGCAUGUAACUUGUGUCUUGUGUGUGGUGAAUUCGGACGGGACAACGAAACAUGGUAUCGGUGCACUUCCUGUGGGUUCUGGGCUCACGCCGACUGUACUGGAUGGGAGUCUGCGCACAAUUAUGUUUGCGAUAUGUGUUGAUCACCAUUUCCCACAUGCUUAUCACCAUUGCCAACCAAUGCUGACAAUGGUGAUCAAACUUAUUUUUUUUAUAAUUUGUUAUUGUACCAAAAUUAAUGAACCAAAGUGAUAAAAGUUGAUCUCAAUUGAUAGAUAACAAAGUAAAGUUUAUAAUAAGAACAGAGUAAUAAAUAUUUGAUCAUUAAA